GCUCAGGACGGACGCCGGCGGCGCGCUCUAAUACACGCAAGUCGUGCGAAGUUUUUUCCGGCGCCCGCACUACAAAAACUUAACGGCGAACGGGAGAGUAACACGUAAAGAACCAGCCUCAUAGACUGGGACAACUAUUGGAAACGAUAGCUAAUACCGGAUAACAGCAUUAACUGCAUGGUUGAUGUUUGAAAGUUAGGUUUUGCUAACACUAUGAGAUGGCUUUGCGGUGCAUUAGCUAGUUGGUGGGGUAAAGGCCUACCAAGGCGACGAUGCAUAGCCGACCUGAGAGGGUGAUCGGCCACACUGGGACUGAGACACGGCCCAGACUCCUACGGGAGGCAGCAGUAGGGAAUCUUCCGCAAUGGGCGAAAGCCUGACGGAGCAACGCCGCGUGAGUGAAGAAGGAUUUCGGUUCGUAAAGCUCUGUUGUUAGGGAAGAAUGAUUGUGUAGUAACUAUACACAGUACAGACGGUACCUAACCAGAAAGCCACGGCUAACUACGUGCCAGCAGCCGCGGUAAUACGUAGGUGGCAAGCGUUGUCCGGAAUUAUUGGGCGUAAAGCGCGCGCAGGUGGUUUAAUAAGUCUGAUGUGAAAGCCCACGGCUCAACCGUGGAGGGUCAUUGGAAACUGUUAAACUUGAGUGCAGGAGAGAAAAGUGGAAUUCCUAGUGUAGCGGUGAAAUGCGUAGAGAUUAGGAGGAACACCAGUGGCGAAGGCGGCUUUUUGGCCUGUAACUGACACUGAGGCGCGAAAGCGUGGGGAGCAAACAGGAUUAGAUACCCUGGUAGUCCACGCCGUAAACGAUGAGUGCUAAGUGUUGGUCUCAUAAGAGAUCAGUGCUGCAGCUAACGCAUUAAGCACUCCGCCUGGGGAGUACGACCGCAAGGUUGAAACUCAAAGGAAUUGACGGGAACCCGCACAAGCGGUGGAGCAUGUGGUUUAAUUCGAAGCAACGCGAAGAACCUUACCAAGUCUUGACAUACUGUGAGGACACAAGAGAUUGUGUUGUUCUGACCUUUGGUUAGACACAGAUACAGGUGGUGCAUGGUUGUCGUCAGCUCGUGUCGUGAGAUGUUGGGUUAAGUCCCGCAACGAGCGCAACCCUUAUAUCUAGUUGCCAGCAGUAAGAUGGGGACUCUAGAUAGACUGCCAGUGAUAAACUGGAGGAAGGUGGGGAUGACGUCAAAUCAUCAUGCCCCUUAUGACUUGGGCUACACACGUGCUACAAUGGAUAGGAACAAAGAGAAGCGAGCUCGCGAGAGUAAGCAAACCUCACAAAACUAUUCUCAGUUCGGAUUGUAGUCUGCAACUCGACUACAUGAAGCUGGAAUCGCUAGUAAUCGCGAAUCAGAAUGUCGCGGUGAAUACGUUCCCGGGUCUUGCACACACCGCCCGUC
rnacentral:rRNA from 1 species